rnacentral:rRNA from 1 species
UGAAUACCAGACGCUACGGCGUUGAAGCAGUGUAUGUCAGACUUCCAAGAAAAGCUCGCAAUGUCCGAAAUAAAAUAAUGCCUGUACCAUAACCGACACAGGUGGGUAGGUAGAGUAUACUAAGGGGCGCGAGAUAACUCUCUCUAAGGAACUCGGCAAAAUAACUCCGUAACUUCGGGAGAAGGAGUGCCUUAUUUUAAGGUUGCAAUAACAAGAUCCAAGCAACUGUUUACCAAAAACACAGGUCUCCGCUAAGUCGUAAGACGAUGUAUGGGGGCUGACGCCUGCCCAGUGCCAGAAGGUUAAAGAAGUUGGUUAGCUAUUGCGAAGCUGAUGACUGAAGCCCUGGUGAACGGCGGCCGUAACGAUAACGGUCCUAAGGUAGCGAAAUUCCUUGUCGGGUAAGUUCCGACCCGCACGAAAGGCGUAAUGAUUUGGAUACUGUCUCGGAGAGGGGCUCGGUGAAAUAGACUUGUCUGUGAAGAUGCGGACUACCUGCACCUGGACAGAAAGACCCUAUGAAGCUUUACUGUAACUUGAAAUUGAAAUUGGACUUUAUUUGCGCAGUAUAGGUGGGAGGCGUUUGAAGAUAUUCUUGCGGGAAUGUUGGAGCCAUUAGUGAGAUACCACUCUUGUAAUGUUAGAUUUCUAACUUUGUACCAUAAUCUGGUCAAAGAACAGUUUCAGGCGGGCAGUUUGACUGGGGCGGUCGCCUCCCAAAUGGUAACGGAGGCGUACAAAGGUUUCCUCUGAACGUGUAGAAAUCGUAUCUAGAGUGUAAAGGCAUAAGGAAGCUUGACUGUGAGACCUACAAGUCAAGCAGGGACGAAAGUCGGUCUUAGUGAUCUGACGGUACUGAGUGGAAAGGCCGUCACUCAACGGAUAAAAGUUACUCUAAGGAUAACAGGCUGAUCUCCCCCAAGAGUUCACAUCGACGGGGAGGUUUGGCACCUCGAUGUCGGCUCAUCGCAUCCUGGGGCGGUAGUACGUCCCAAGGGUUGGGCUGUUCGCCCAUGAAAGCGGUACGCGAGCUGGGUUCAGAACGUCGUGAGACAGUUCGGUCCAUAUCCGGUGUAGGCGUUAGAAUAUUGAGAGGAGCCUUCUUUAGUACGAGAGGACCGAGAAGGACAUACCUCUGGUGUACCAGUUAUCGUGCCAACGGUAAACGCUGGGUAGCUAUGUAUGGAGAGGAUAACCGCUGAAAGCAUCUAAGUGGGAAGCCCACCUCGAGAUGAGUAUUCUC